rnacentral:sRNA from 1 species
GUCACUCUCCCGGAGAUGGUGUCUGGGGUGGCCUCUAAGCCUUGAAUGUACCCCCAAAAGAAGCUGUAUUAUAAAGCGAUACUGUGAGAAAAGAUUCGUGUCUAAAUACCUGGCAACAAUUGGAAUUGACUAUGGAGUCACAAAGGUACACGUCAGAGACAGAGAAAUCAAAGUUAACAUCUUUGAUAUGGCUGGACAUCCCUUCUUCUAUGAGGUUCGAAAUGAGUUUUACAAGGACACACAGGGUGUGAUACUGGUCUAUGAUGUUGGGCAGAAAGACUCCUUUGACGCCCUUGAUGCAUGGCUGGCAGAAAUGAAGCAAGAGCUUGGACCUCAUGGAAACAUGGAAAAUAUUAUAUUUGUAGUUUGUGCCAACAAGAUUGAUUGUACCAAACAUCGCUGUGUAGAUGAAAGUGAAGGACGUCUUUGGGCUGAAAGCAAAGGGUUCCUGUACUUUGAAACUUCAGCACAAACUGGAGAAGGCAUCAAUGAGAUGUUCCAGACCUUUUAUAUAUCCAUAGUUGAUUUAUGUGAAAAUGGCGGGAAA